AAUGCCAGUCACGGGUCCAAACUUUGUGUGUCCCAACCUCCCACAUGAUGAAAUGAUCCUUUUAAAGCGGGCUCAAUAUGUCUCAAUCUGCACUCCUCUUCCUUCUCUAAAGCUUCUGGGUUCGGGACACAGCCCAGAAAUAUAUUAAUUAAAGCGCACUACUACGGACUUUUUUUUAGCACUGAGGAAGAAGUGGUUGGAUCAAGUCAAGCUCUGUCAACGACGGAUGGAUGAAGAUUCAUGGCAGAAAAAGCAAAAGAAGAAAAAAGCGAUCAAUGCCGCAGCACUUUCCAGUUCAUCUUGAACUAGCGGUGAACUCCAGAAUGCCGCCAGCGUCUCCACCCUAUCCCAUCGCAGUUCAGGGUCACCAGGGGGGUGUCUCUGUGCCGAUAUGCAAAUAAGCCCGUGGCCCUUCAGUGACUCUGGCGUUAAGCUCCACCCCUUCUAUAUGGUAGAAGCUUUGAAAUAAAAUCCUCUCCCCCAGACAACCUUCGCACACACACAGAUAUAAACCCACUCUCAUGUAGACUUAAACAGGCCUUUAAAACUUCCAUCCAUUCCUCCUUUAAUAGCCAAAGCGUGUUGAACCUAAUGGAUGUUGUCAUAGCUGAGAUGUGACCACUGAUUUAGAGGAGGAACCCUAGUGACCAGGCGAAGAGAGGCAGAGACAGAGACAGAGGGAGAAGAAGAAGACAAGCGAGAGUUAUGUCAGCUACACCACAAAUCAAAGUAAUAUCUUUUAAAAAUUGUGGAAAUCGAUGGUGUCAUCUAGCUGUAUCUUGUGGGUAAAGGAAACCCAUAAACAGCCAAUUAGCUGAUAAGCAGACUGUUUUUUUUUCCUUUAUGAAGAAUCGAUUUUACGUGUUGGCAAAACAGCGUACAAUGGACAAAGAGCUCACCCUUUUUAACUGUAACUUGUAUCCUGUAUUUAAACUAAAGUACACUGUGUAACUGUUUCGUACUUGUGAAACAAUUAAGUUGCAUGUACAGAUUUUAACAAGUUUACAGUAAUGACAUUAGCCUAAUAAAGUUUGUUUUAAACGCAA